CUGGAGGAGUGCCCUCACAUAAGGACUGAAAAGGACAGUGAAAUCACUUGAAGCCACAGAGCAGCUAAAGUUCGAGAGAUUAUUUAGAGAAGCUGCUUCCAAGGAUGAAACCCUCUGAUUUAGAAGGGAAAUUCAGAAGGAUUUUUAAUAGUGAAGAAAACAGGAAGGGAUGACACGGGAGAUGGACUUCGUCUUUUUCACUGAAUAUUGACAAAGGGCUGAAUUUCCUCACAAGACUGGUAAUGAGUACAGUAUGUGAAGUAAAUACAAUAAAAUACCAAGUUUUAU
rnacentral:lncRNA from 1 species